GUUUAUUCUUGGGACCUUUGCGCUAAGCGAAAAAUACAACGCCUUGAAAACUUUCCUCAAGGGGUUUCUUCUCUUGCAUUUACUGGAAACGGAGAUGUUUUGGCUGUUUCUUCUUCAUAUACUUUUGAAGAAGGAGAAAAAGA